GCUUGCUUUGGCAACACAUAUACUAAAAUUGGAACGAUACAGAAAUUAGCAUGGCCCCUGUACAAGAGAACAUACUUAAAAAAAAAAAAAUCUCGCUAGUGUG